GGCCCUAUGGUCAAGCGGUUAAGACAUCGCCCUUUCACGGCGGUAUCCCGGGUUCGAAUCCCGGUAGGGUCACCA
rnacentral:tRNA from 18 species